CCUACGGGUGGCAGCAGUGGGGAAUAUUGGGCAAUGGGCGCAAGCCUGACCCAGCAACGCCGCGUGAAGGAAGAAGGCUUUCGGGUUGUAAACUUCUUUUCUUAGGGACGAAGAAAGUGACGGUCCCUCAGGAAUACGCCACGGCUAACUACGUGCCAGCGGCCGCUGUAAUACGGAGGUGGCAAGCGUUAUCCGGAUUCAUUGGGUGUAAAGGGUGUGUAGGCGGGAAAGCAAGUCAGAUGGGAAAACUCAGGGCUCAACCCUGAGCCUGCAUUUGAAACUGUUUGUCUUGAGUGCGGGAGAGGCAAUCGGAAUUCCGGGUGUAGCGGUGAAAUGCGUAGAUAUACGGAGGAACACCAGUGGCGAAGGCGGAUUGCUGGACAGUAACUGACGCUGAGGCGCGAAAGCGUGGGGAGCAAACAGGAUUAGAUACCCGAGUAGUC
rnacentral:rRNA from 1 species